rnacentral:rRNA from 1 species
ACGGAAGGCAGCAGUGGGGAAUAUUGCACAAUGGGCGCGCCUGAUGCAGCGAUGCCGCGUGGGAAGAAGGUUUUCGGAUUGUAGACCUCUGUCAACAGGGACGAAAAUGACGGUACCUGUGAAGGAAGCUCCGGCUAACUACGUGCUAGCAGCUGCGGUAAUACGUAGGGAGCAAGCGUUAUCCGGAAUUACUGGGUGUAAAGGGAGUGUAGGCGGGACUGUAAGUCAGAUGUGAAAUAUACCGGCUCAACUGGUAGACUGCAUUUGAAACUGCGGUUCUUGAGUGAAGUAGAGGUAAGCGGAAUUCCUAGUGUAGCGGUGAAAUGCGUAGAUAUUAGGAGGAACAUCAGUGGCGAAGGCGGCUUACUGGGCUUUAACUGACGCUGAGGCUCGAAAGCGUGGGGAGCAAACAGGAUUAGAUACCCUGGUA